rnacentral:lncRNA from 1 species
GUGAUAGGCGGCAGUGUGUGUGUGGGGGGGGAACCGCUGAGAGGAAAAGAGAGGCAAGCGUGUGAGUGUGCCUGUGUGGGUGAUCACGAAUGAGAUGCGAGAGAGAGGAAGAGGAAGGAUCGCCUUUUUCUCUUCUGCCUUCCAAACCGCGAGCUGACGAGCAGAGCGAGGGAAACGAGAAGGAAAGGAGGGAGAAUCCCGGCAGGCAAAGUGAUCUGCCGACGCCUCCUCCGGGGUGAGGGAGUCCGCAACCUCCCCGGCUUCGUCUGGGCCACGCCGUCGUCCGUGCGCCUCCUCCUCCUCCUCCUCGCCCCCCCCCCCGCCAGCCUCAGCCUCCUUCCGUCUGCCAACUCCAGGGAUCCGUCUGAGACUGCUGUGCGUGCUUCGAUGGCAGCGAGCAGAUAGGCAAGGAGCAGCGGUGUCAGGAGGAGAGAGAGGAGAGUCCAAGGGAUUAGCCUCAAUUCAGAAUACUGUCCGCCAUUGUCUGUUCAGGAAGCCACGAGAACAAAACAGCCCACAGCUUCAGCUUCUUCACCAUCAACUAAAUGAAAUGAAGUAUUCUGGAGAAAGGUUUAUUGGGGAUCAGUGCCCAUUUGGACAGGAAGAAAAGUGACAGGGCAGAUGACAGUAUGAUCUUUAGAAGAAGGUUCAAAAAUGCAAGCAAGAGAACAAACCAAUCAUGUAUGGAGGAGGAAAAGAAGAAGUUGUGAUUAGAAGACCUACAUCCCCCACUAUGAUGACCUCUCAAACUGAGGAAACCGCUUGUCCCUAACUCAGCAGCUUCCCUGGGAGUGCUAACAUUCACAGAAACAUCCAGAGGAAACAGGAGCAAUCUGAUUGUAGCUAGUCUUGGAUUU